rnacentral:tRNA from 1 species
GACCCGUUAGCUCAGCAGGUAGAGCAAUUCCCUUUUAAGGAAUGGGUCGCUGGUUCGAAUCCAGCACGGGUCACCA